rnacentral:lncRNA from 1 species
GAGGGUUUUCUGCUCCUCUGAGGGCGAUCAGAUCCUCUACAGCUGGACUCUGAAUGGAGGUCCACUGAUGGAUGGAAACUCCAGCAUUGAUCUGGAUGAGGGAACUGAUGGAAACAUCAGCUGCAGUGUGAAGAACCACGUCAGUCACAGACAGAAGACUGUUAGUGUCAAACCCUGUCCUGUCUUACAUGUCUCUCUGAUUGCUUUGGGCUUUGUUGCGCUGAUCCUGUUUCUGCUGUUCAUCACCGUAUAUCACAUUUACAAGAAAAAACAGGUCAAGUCGACACCAGAAUCACUCCCGGCUGCUGAUGUGGAAUAUGUUGAGAUCCAACCGCAGAAGAAGAGGAAGGAGAGGAAAGAGAAGGAGGAAGAGGUUCAGUACGGCGAGGUGACAUUCACUCUAAACCCCUCAAUCGCUUACACACGGCCUCAGGAGGAGUGUAUUUAUUCUCAGGUACACAGAUGAUAGUUUCACAACAACAGCUGUGUAAAAUCACACUUUCCCUGGGAAA